rnacentral:rRNA from 1 species
UGAAAAGAACUGAGGUGAUCAGAGUGAAAUAGAACCUGAAACCAUUUGCUUACAAUCAUUCAGAGCCCUAUGUAGCAAUACAGGGUGAUGGACUGCCUUUUGCAUAAUGAGCCUGCGAGUUGUGGUGUCUGGCAAGGUUAAGCAAACGCGAAGCCGUAGCGAAAGCGAGUCUGAAUAGGGCGCUUAGUCAGAUGCUGCAGACCCGAAACGAAGUGAUCUAUCCAUGAGCAAGUUGAAGCUAGUGUAAGAACUAGUGGAGGACUGAACCCAUAGGCGUUGAAAAGCCCCGGGAUGACUUGUGGAUAGGGGUGAAAGGCCAAUCAAACUUCGUGAUAGCUGGUUCUCUCCGAAAUAUAUUUAGGUAUAGCGUUGUGUCGUAAUAUAAGGGGGUAGAGCACUGAAUGGGCUAGGGCAUACACCAAUGUACCAAACCCUAUCAAACUCCGAAUACCUUAUAUGUAAUCACAGCAGUCAGGCGGCGAGUGAUAAAAUCCGUCGUCAAGAGGGAAACAACCCAGACUACCAGCUAAGGUCCCUAAAUCUUACUUAAGUGGAAAACGAUGUGAAGUUACUUAAACAACCAGGAGGUUGGCUUAGAAGCAGCCAUCCUUUAAAGAAAGCGUAAUAGCUCACUGGUCUAGUGAUUUUGCGCGGAAAAUAUAACGGGGCUAAAGUAAGUACCGAAGCUGUAGACUUGCGCACAACUUAGAUUAUUUAAGUUUAGAAUAUGAGAAACUAAGUUAUAUGUUUAGUUAUAUUUUUACUGAUUUUUAUAGAGUAAAGAUAGAAAUAAAACUUAGUAAAAUCAGUAAAAAUAUUCUUAGACUAAAGUUAAGUAGUUUAAGUUGUGUGCAAGUGGUAGGAGAGCGUUCUAUUUGCGUCGAAGGUAUACCGGUAAGGAGUGCUGGAGCGAAUAGAAGUGAGCAUGCAGGCAUGAGUAGCGAUAAUUAAUGUGAGAAUCAUUAACGCCGUAAACCCAAGGUUUCCUACGCGAUGCUCGUCAUCGUAGGGUUAGUCGGGUCCUAAGCCGAGUCCGAAAGGGGUAGGCGAUGGCAAAUUGGUUAAUAUUCCAAUACCAACAUUAGUGUGCGAUGGAAGGACGCUUAGGGCUAAGGGGGCUAGCGGAUGGAAGUGCUAGU